UACGGAAGGGGCGAGCGUUGUUCGGAAUCAUUGGGCGUAAAGCGUGCGUAGACGGUUAUUUAAGUCGGGUGUGAAAGCCCCGGGCUCAACCUGGGAAUUGCAUUCGAGACUGAAUAGCUAGGGUACGGUAGAGGGAAGCGGAAUUUCCGGUGUAGCGGUGAAAUGCGUAGAUAUCGGAAGGAACAAUCAGUGGCGAAAGCGGCCUUCCUGGACCAGUACCGACGUCAGGCACGAAAGCGUGGGGAGCAAACAGG
rnacentral:rRNA from 1 species